UGGUGGAGUGAUUCGUCUGGUUAAUUCCGUUAACGAACGAGACCUCGGCCUACUAAAUAGUUCGACAUCCUCUCGGGGAUGGUUUGUAACUUCUUAGAGGGACUGUCGGUUACUAGCCGAAGGAAGUUCGAGGCAAUAACA
rnacentral:rRNA from 1 species